rnacentral:misc_RNA from 1 species
GAUGAAGAACGCAGCGAAAUGCGAUAAGUAGUGUGAGUUGCAGAAUUCAGUGAAUCAUCGAAUCUUUGAACGCACAUUGCGCCCUUUGGUAUUCCUUAGGGCAUGCCUGUUCGAGCGUCAUUUAAACCUUCAAGCUCAGCUUGGUGUUGGGUGACUGUCCGCUUCACCGCGGACUCGCCUCAAAAUUAUUGGCGGCCGGUACAUUGGCUUCGAGCGCAGCAGAAACGCGAACUCGGGCCCGUCGUAUUGGCUCCCAGAAGCUAUCUUCACAAUUUUGACCUCGGAUCAGGUAGGGAUACCCGCUGAACUUAAGCAUAUCAAUAAGCGGAGGA